rnacentral:pre_miRNA from 1 species
UGAGUUUAAUGGAUAUGCACUGACAGUGUAAAAUAGUUUUACACAGACAUCCAAUUGAAUUCCGUCAAAUCAGAAAAUAUAUUAUUCUUUUAAUUAAAAUUAAAGUCAAAUGUAAUUAUCUCUCCUAUGUGGCAUGCUUUGAUUGGAUGACUGUGUAAAACUAUUUUACAUUAGUGCAUAUCCAUUAAACUC